GAAGGCCCCUAUUCUCCUCACAGAGCUACAAUUAUCAGGGCAGCUUAACAAGCAGUUCCCAUUCCCAGGGAAUGCUGGGAAUUGUACCUCUGUGAGGGGAAUAGAGGUCUC